rnacentral:rRNA from 1 species
UACGAAGGGGGCUAGCGUUGCUCGGAAUCACUGGGCGUAAAGGGUGCGUAGGCGGGUCUUUAAGUCAGGGGUGAAAUCCUGGAGCUCAACUCCAGAACUGCCUUUGAUACUGAAGAUCUUGAGUCCGGGAGAGGUGAGUGGAACUGCGAGUGUAGAGGUGAAAUUCGUAGAUACUCGCAAGAACACCAGUGGCGAAGGCGGCUCACUGGCCCGGUACUGACGCUGAGGCACGAAAGCGUGGGGAGCAAACAGG